rnacentral:sRNA from 1 species
UUCAAUUCCCGGCUGGUGCAUUUGAGCGUUGAUGAAAUUUGCUUUAAGCUAAGGUUGGGUCCUUAGCAAUUCUCCGAUGAAUCGGAUAAUAUAGCCUCAUAUCUGAGCUCAUUUGUUUUU